UGUGCAGGUCUGUGUCUGAUCUUCUGCACUGCUGAUGUCUUUCAGGGCAGGUUUCUCAUGUCUCAGGCCGUUUCGAAGGCUUUAGUUUCUGCAGACGCCGUGAAGUGCUCAAUCAUCACUGUGGACAAGAACACACUGGAUUCAUUUCUCACUGUUUUAUUAUAGUGCAAAUUUAUCAUUUUUACCCCACAGGCAGUUAAUAAAUCAGUAACAUUUUCAGAGCUUGAGUUGCAUACUGUGUCUUAAGUGUCUUUUUCUUUGGUUGGGAAUAUGGGGCAGUUGAAUUGAUCUGCUUCUAAAGCUGGAGUGGAGGGUCUUGAACCGCUGACGAAGAGCUGAGCAAAUUUGGCAUUCGCUGCAACUGUGUCCUGCCGGGUUCACCACUACACCCAUAACAGAUAAAAAGUAGCUGAUGCAUGUGCGUUGCUGGCUUCUGAUGACAGUGGAUAUAUUCUGGAGUCAGUGUUCAAGUUGCAGGAAACAGACAGGUCCCACUUCAAAACCAAAUUUCUGAUUGUCCUCCCCAAAGUCUGAGAUCCUGAUGUCCAGCAGGGGGAGCUGCUCCACCUGAGGUGUGUUCACCUCCAGCACUGUCCUGUCCAAGCCUUUACGAUACUGCAGGG